GAUAUGUCAUUCCCCUUGGACCGAACCAUCUAAUUUUCAAUGAUUUCGAGAAAAUGUCCUGUUAACACUGGAAAUUUCAAAUCUUCGGCAUUAUUUUCAGAAAUACUAUUAUUCUUUUAUGUAAUGACACAUUUGCAUCAAAAUAAUGUCGAAAAGUUCAGGUUUAACGAAUUCCUCAGCCGAGUCCUCAGCUUAUCUUUAUCUGCCCGAAAAAUCGCAUAGUCCACUCUGACUGAACGCCGACCAUUUGAUGGCGAAAACAUCAGAUUUUUUCUUUCUGUGUUUAUUUUUUCUAAUGUCGUUUUCGUUUUUGCGGUGGAGCUACACCGGUGUAGCACUUUUGCACCAAAAAUGAUCGUUUUUGAUUUCCGUGCUACACCGGUGCAGCACUUUUUCUGCACCACGCAGGAUAGUGUAGCACUCAAAAAAUCGGGAGUGUAGCUGGUGCACACCGUGUCCACCAAUCAGCGUUUGCAAAGUUGUCAAUAUUUUGGUGUUUAUACACGCACACCAAUGCAACUGCACCGAAAACAAUGAGAGUAUAUUACAGGUGGGGAAGAAGAAGAGAUGGCUAUGUAUUAGUAAGCAAAGAAAAAUGUAAACACAAAUUGUGACGUCACUAUUUGACACGCGUUCUUAUGGGAGCUCGCUUUGCUUGUAGUAGUGACAUGUUUUGCACCAGACACGGAUCUCACGCACACGAAGUUCUUCUUCCCCACCUCUAUUAGACUCUCAUUGCACCGAAAAUGUUCGUUUAUUCAGCGAAAAGUGUAGCACGAAGCGCACGCUAGUUCUCAAAUACCCAUUAAAUGGGUCUUAAGUACCCAUUUUUUGCAACAGUACUGAGCUGUCAAAAAAUGGGGCUUUUUCUUACUUCAAAUAAUGGGUAAAUAAACCCCAUUACGAAGUUCUCUUUCUGAUGAAAAUAAUGGGUAAAUAGCACCCAUGAUUAUUUGUCAUUUUCAGAACCGCCAUUGUUGGACUUCGUGAUUUUUAAAAAAAGCAUAUUUAGCUUUGUGAUUCAUUGUAUCGAACAAUCGACAUCGCAGAUGAAGAGGAUAUUGUUAUUUAAAUUGGUAACAUGGUAGCAUUUGGAUGAAAAAGUCCCGGAAAGGGCGGGUUCUCGGUGCUGUGAUUUUAUGAGCAUUGAAAGUCGGAUGCGCUUCGAAAAUGGAGGAUAAUUAUAUAGAGAUAGAUAUAGAGCUAACUGUCCUUCAUAUUACAUAAUAAAUAUACAAUUUAAAUGUGUACAGUCUCA